CAGCUUCCACCUGACAGGUGCUUGAUUUAAUAACCACCCCCCCACCUCCACCCCGGCCCAGCCUCGUAUCAGCCCUGACAUGCCCAGGGAAUAAGACGGCAAAUUAGAGAGAUGGAAACUCCACUUCACUGCAAGCCAAGAUUUAGAUGGUCCUCGUAGCCCCUUAUUUAUAAAGUUUGGGUUUCCCUUUCACCUUUCAGUGAGAUUGGGAUGGCUUGCUGGCCCUAAAUAGUAAUGAAUUUGGGGCUGUGUUCUGCCUCCUGGCAUGAAGUGCUUAAUGAAUGUUCCCAUCUUUCUACAGGGAAAUCUCUCUCUCUGCUAAUUGCUGUCAUCAUCCAUCAAGAUCACCAACAGAGCAGCAUUCCAGCCAGAGAGGCCUUGGGGCCCAGAUGAUGCUACCCUGAAUUAGCCCAGCAAGUGUAACUUAGCUCACACCUCUGACUGAGCUGGCAGGCGUCUCUUAAGACUGUUGAAGUGUGGGGCUGAGUGUCCCA
rnacentral:lncRNA from 1 species